AGCAAUUCUUAUUUUCAGAACCCCUAGAGCAAUCAACAGACAGACAGAGCCCUGCUUCAUGGAGCGUCUGCUCUCUCCUGGAGCUCACACGCUGAAACAGACAGGAUGCAACACCUCAGGGUUGUUGGAGAACCAGAGGCUGUUGCAAUUAGGAUGGCGAAUAGUGAAAAACAGUGUGGUUGAAUUGAACAUAAGCUGAAGGGCUAGACAUCAUGGCUUCAAUCCUUGUGGAGGACUAUUACGCAAGAGUGAGGUUAAUGACACUGCAGGAGCCAGGAAGAAGCAAGAGAAAUCUCAGGGAGCUCAGAACACAAAGCCUGAUGAUGAGAAAAAAAUGUUAAGAGAGCAGCACCCAGCUCAAAGGUGGAGACAUCAUGACAAAAUGAACUCAGGAGCAAAUACAGGGAUUUUGCUCUCACUGUGAGCAGCAUGGAGGCCCUCAUUCUGAGCCCUAACUCCUUGAGGGAAAUAGAGAAUCGAAUAAAUCUCAGUCUGGAGUCAUGGAUUUAUUUUUUCUUAUUCCAGUUAAGAAAAUCAUUGGAUUUUUAACAUUUUGGGCUCAAGGUCUCACUCUGAAAAUCUAAUGAAAAGUCAUGAUCAUGCCACCAAAAAAAUGCACAUAAGCAUACUCUAGCAAAAUUUUGCUUGUAAUUUCAGGUAUAUGUAAUCUAAAAGCUUUCCUUCCUACUGGUUAAGAACUUCCACUUUAUAGGGCCAAUAAAAGCAGGUAACUCCAUUCUAGGGACUUACCCUGUGACACUCUUUGACAAAAAUCAUCUAAUUGAAUCCUGUGAUCAUCUAAUCACAACCACAUAACAUGGGAAUCUAUAUCUCUAUUAUCUAGGAGAAACAAAGUGCAAAGAAUUUCAGUCAUCUAGAAAGCAAGGGUGACUGUUAAGAAGUAUGAGGCAGAGACAUUAUUGGACUGCUUGGCACCCCUGUGGCCCCC
ensembl:lincRNA